rnacentral:rRNA from 1 species
UUGAAAGGGAAACGAUUGAAGUCAGUCGUACCGACGAGAAAUCAGCUUUUCGAGUGCGAAUUUGUGGGCGUGCGUGAGCUGUCAAAGGCCUCGCUGUUUGCAAUUAGUGCUUUUUUGGUGUACUUUUUCGUAUGGUAGGCCAACGUCAGUUUCGAGCACCAUAAAAUGAUCGGAGGAAUGUAGCUUUGAUCUCGUAUUGAAGUGUUAUAGCCUUUGGUAGAUGUGGUGAUCGAAACUGAGGAUUGCAACGAAUACCCUUUGGGCUAUCCGUCUGACCUCUGGAAGUUGCUUAGGUGCCGAAAGCUUGCUUAUGGUUAUCUAAGUUAACGGUCAAUAGGUUAGAACGUGAUUACAUUCGUUAAGGAUGUUGACGUA